CGAGUGCGUUCAGAGUUUGAUCCUGGCUCAGGACGAACGCUGGCGGCGUGCCUAAUACAUGCAAGUAGAACGCUGAAGACUUUAGCUUGCUAAAGUUGGAAGAGUUGCGAACGGGUGAGUAACGCGUAGGUAACCUGCCUACUAGCGGGGGAUAACUAUUGGAAACGAUAGCUAAUACCGCAUAACAGCAUUUAACACAUGUUAGAUGCUUGAAAGGAGCAAUUGCUUCACUAGUAGAUGGACCUGCGUUGUAUUAGCUAGUUGGUGAGGUAACGGCUCACCAAGGCGACGAUACAUAGCCGACCUGAGAGGGUGAUCGGCCACACUGGGACUGAGACACGGCCCAG
rnacentral:rRNA from 1 species